CAUUCAUGCAAUGGCCACUCCUUAUGUGAACUUUUCCAGUGCACUUCAUGGGAUUACCCUUGGACACCAUUUAAAAACCUGAGGGAAUCCUUCAAACAAAUGCUUGGAGUAUUGCUCCUGAUGUUCAUGAUACUAUUCAAAGAUGCUAACUGGAGU